AAAGCAGAGGUCAGGGAGAAAGAUGUAGAGAUGCUGCACACACACACAGCUCAAUGUUCAGUACUACUUCUCUUUAAAGAGGAAUGUUGGGCGUAUCAGACAGUAAGUGGGAUUGUUAUCAUUCAUUCCAUUACAGCUGGAACUGUACCCCCCUUGUUUAGCCUGGGGUGGCACCCUGGGCUCUGUUCAGACAGAUGAAAUGUUAAGAACAUUACUGGUUGAAAUAUACCACUUAGACAAGACACUGUUCACUAAACUCCACUUGAUAGGAGAAUCAUCUGCUCAUCUACCUUACAUUUUUGUCCUCAAUGCUCAGAACAUUUCAACCACCCCUGAAGAGUUUAAUUUAGUACCAGUCAGACUAGAACCACAUAGAGCCAGAGUAAAUAUCAAAUCCGUGUUCAAUAGGGCAGACAACAAAAAUGUUCUAAAACAUUUUGCAACAGAAAACAAAAGAACAUUUCCUACUAGACAAGUCAAGGGAAUCCCUCCCUGUUUCAAUCAGUUUUGUUGUUGUUGUUGUGCCUAAUGUACAAGACCAAGCAUCCCACCUGGCCUGUGUAAUGUGGUGUGUUCUCCCUGUAGAGGUGUCUGACAAACACCAGGAAAACAUGUGGGAAACAGACAGACAGACAGACAGACAGACAGACAGACAGACAGACAGACAGACAGACAGACAGACAGACAGACAGACAGACAGACAGACAGACAGACAGACAGACAGACAGACAGACAGACAGACAGACAGACAGACAGACAGACAGACAGACAGGGCAGGGAACGCAAUUGUUUAUGACUGAAUAGGUAAGUAGUAGAAGGACACUAAAAGUACCAUGGAAGAGUGAAGACUGGAUAGAAUAGAAGAUAACAUAUUCAUUUUGUAGAGGUGGACAGUGGUAACAGUAGUCGUAGCCGUAGGCCUGGGAAGCUCUCCACAGACACUAAUCAAAUUAGCACAGAGCUAAGCCCCCCAUUGUCCAUGGGCCAGAGGUUCACAGUCAGUUAACAAGCAUAGAAACGCCUGGGGAAAAAAUGAAAAGAGAGGUCAUAUCAGGGAGGGAGAUGUGGAGGUGUGUGAAUGAGGGAGAGAAGAGAUGAGAAGAGUGUAGGGCAGAGAUGAGAUGAGCGUGGGGCAGGGAUGAGAAGAGCGUAGGGCAGAGAUGAGAUGAGCGUGGGGCAGGGAUGAGAAGAGCGUAGGGCAGAGAUGAGAAGAGCGUGGGGCAGGGAUGAGAAGAGCGUAGGGCAGAGAUGAGAAGAGCGUGGGGCAGAGAUGAGAAGAGCGUGGGGCAGAGAUGAGAAGAGCGUGGGGCAGGGAUGAGAAGAGCGUAGGGCAGAGAUGAGAAGAGCGUGGGGCAGGGAUGAGAAGAGCGUAGGGCAGAGAUGAGAAGAGCGUGGGGCAGAGAUGAGAAGAGCGUGGGGCAGAGAUGAGAAGAGCGUAGGGCAGAGAUGAGAAGAGCGUGGGGCAGAGAUGAGAAGAGCGUGGGGCAGAGAUGAGAAGAGUGUAGUGCAGAGAUAAGAGUGGAGGACAGAGAUAAGAAGACUGUAGGGCAGAAAUGAUAAGAAGAGGAGAGAAAUACAGAGAUUAAGUGAGAGACAGAUAUAGAGAGAGAUGUAGACAGAGUGAGAUGUAUAGAGAGAGAUGUGGAAAGAGAGAGAGAGAUGUGGAGAGAGAUGUGGAGCGGGAGAGAGAGAUAGAGAGAGAGAGAUGUAGAGUGAGAGAGAUAAAGACAGAGAGAUGUGGAGAGAGAGAGAGAUGUGGAGAGAGAGAGAGAUGUGGAGAGAGAGAUGUGGAGAGAGAGAUGUGGAGAGAGAGAUAUGUGGAGAGAGGGAUGUGGAGAGAGAGAGAGAUGUGGAGAGAGGGAUGUGGAGAGAGAUGUAGAGAGAGAGAUGUAGAGCGAGAGAGAUCUAGAGCAGCCCACCUUAGCUCCUGACAAAAGUCUCGACACCACAGCAGAACAGUCCACCACAGACCCUGAUCAUAGCAUCGAGCGGGACAG
rnacentral:lncRNA from 1 species